UACGUAGGGUGCAAGCGUUGUCCGGAAUUAUUGGGCGUAAAGAGCUCGUAGGCGGUCUGUUGCGUCGGCUGUGAAAGCCCGGGGCUCAACCCCGGGUCGGCCGUGCGAACUGCGUCGCUCGAGCAUGGUAGAGGCGGGUGGAAUUCCGGGUGUAGCGGUGGAAUGCGUAGAGAUCCGGAAGAACACCGGUGGCGAAGGCGGCCCGCUGGGCCAUGGCUGACACUGAGGCGCGACGGCGUGGGGAGCAAACAGG
rnacentral:rRNA from 1 species